CCAGGAUGAGCAGGAUAUUGUAAGGUUUGUUGUCAGGGACUUUUACAUAUGCAGCAAUGCAUAGUGACAUAAUCACAUCUUCUGUGAGGAGGUGUAGGGACCCCCCUGUGAUCUUCACCUCCUGGUGUUCAUGACUUUGGAUAAUGGCCUCCAUCUUUGACUGCAGGCAAUGCCUCUGACUCAUUUCUGAUAGACUCUGGCAAAGGGGACAGGAUGCCUCAUUACAUCGGGUUGAGGAGAGUUUGGUUUACGUCCCUCUAGAAAUUCCCCUUGCAGGCCUGAAAAGGGAAGAAGCAUGUUGAACAUUCUAUGUGAUGAGGACAGGAGGCAGGUUUGAGGAACUGUGGAUGGUCACCGCCAACAUCCCAUAAAACCGAAGACCCUGGGUUCUACGACAGCAAGACUUCUGCCUACGUGCUAUACAGGGUAGAGGUGGAUGCCAUCAAGCAAGGUGAAGUUGUCUCUAUCGAAGAGAAGACAGAACAAUGCCCCCUAACAGGCUUUCACAGCAGAGGGCUCCCAAGCCCUUCCUGCCAUCCCUGUGGAGCUCACUGCUAGAAAAUGCACCUACUAUACCAACUACACUUCUUGCCUGCAUCAAUGUCUUUGAGGACUCUUUCCUGCUACUCUGGGACUUCAUCUGAGUUUCCACAAGCCCCAGGACUGGCCCAUGCAAUCGCUUUCCCUAGCUCCUGUCUCUGUGGUCCCAUCUCUGAAGAUACGAAACCACAAGCAGGGCAGCAGGGCCAGCUUCACCACGAGUUCAAGGGCAGCUGGCAGCGCUUCCUCCUCUCUAUACUACAGGGGAUCUGGGUUCUAAGAGGAGGGACAAUGGGCUCACACUGUCUGUUCUGAAGGAGAAGUGGCUCUGUCUCAAGCCAUGGAGACUUUCUCUGAGGCAUGCUUUGGCAAAGCUGCUCCACUCAGAGCCAGGGUGAACUCUGACUGUCCCUAUAGCAUACCAUGGGCCAUUUAAAUCACUUGUAGCAGAGAGAUGGUGCUAGAAUCAUUCUGCACUUCAGAAGGGGGCCUACGGGUGAGAGGGCAUAGAAGGAUCCAGAUAUCUUCCAGCUACUUAACGGUUUAGCAAGAAGGACAAAUGCAACUCCAUCAGGAGA